CAUCCAGCAGCUGGUUCCCUCCGAGGUUUCCCUCGGGAUAG
rnacentral:rRNA from 1 species